GUGCUUGCUUUGGCAGCACAUAUACUAAAAUUGGAACGAUGGCAUUAGCAUGCCCUUCUGCAAGAUGACAUGCAUAUGCUUGAAGCUUUCCUUCUUUGA
rnacentral:snRNA from 1 species